rnacentral:lncRNA from 1 species
UUGUUUUGAGUUUAGUGGUUGUAGAUAAAGAAAAAAUGGCUGAGGAGCAUACCAAGGUUGGUGGUGAGGAAGCAGUGGAGAGCAAGGAGCGAGGGAUGUUUGAUUUCUUGGGGAAGAAAGAAGAUGAGAAGCCUCAACCUCAAGAGGAGGUGGUCGCCACCCAGUUUGAGAAAGUCAAGAUAGAAGAGGAACAUAAGGAAGAUGAGAAGAAACACAGUCUCCUGGACAAGCUUCACCUAUCCAAUAGCAGCUCCAGCUCUGUAAUUACUUUUUUUUACUUCCUUGCUUACUAUUCAUAGUUCAAACAGUCAAAUCUUUUUCAUAUAUAUUAUAACAUGCGUUGUAUGAAUGUUCAGUCUAGUGACGAGGAAGAAGGUGAAGGCGGAGAGAAGAUGAAGAAGAAGAAAAAGGAGAAGGGAAAGAAAGAACAGGACAGUGCAGUCCCAGUGGAGAAGUGCGAUGAGGCAGCAACAGUUCACCACUCAGAGACGCCGAAAAAGAAGGGUUUCAUGGAUAAGAUCAAAGACAAACUCCCAGGACAGCAUAAGAAAGAUGAAGAGGACACCACCCAACCACCAGCUGCUGCUGCCCCAACUGAGAACGACCACCAUGAAGGAGAGACAAAAGAGAAGAAGGGAUUUUUGGUGAAAAUCAAGGAGAAAAUUCCUGGUUACCACUCCAAAACAGAGGACGAGAAGGAAAAAGAGACCACUGCUCCCCAUUAAUGAAUCAAUAUAAUGCAUUUCAAGUAAAAGAUGUGUAGAGAUUGUGUGGUUUAUCAAUUUGUUGGAACUGUCUGUUCUCUGUUUUUCUUUUUGGGGUUGCAUACAUCAUAUAAAUUUCUGCGUCUGUUUUCCUGCUUGUAAGUUAAAAAGGAAAAAAAAGAAAAAAGAAGGUAUGUAUAUUUAAUGUUUUCAAUGUCAUUAUAAUAAUUAAGAAAUGACGGUAUUAUUUCCCUUUUAUCAAGUAGGUUUGUGCACUCUUAAAUGCAAGUUUUAACAAAUAUGAAUUAUUUAAAUAUACAUUUAAUUUUUGAAUUUAACAUUUUUUUUUCUAGGUUGAUGUUACUCAAAUUUUUAUUUCAUUAACUAAAUUAGUAUUAAUUUAAUUCGCGGAAUAAAAAUUCUAACAUUAGAAAAAAAUAAAUAUAACAUAAAUUAUAAAAUGAAGGAAAAAAAAAUUUCGACCGUAGUUAAUGAAUAAUGAUCAAUGAAAGAUCAGUGAAAAGCUAAUUCAUGUAACAAAUUGUUUAUUGGUUUUUAAGCAAAAAUACAAUAAUAUUAGGUGGCAAGCUUUUAAUUGUUUGACAAUUGAUACUCUAUUUAUAUGAACAUAGAAUAUGUUCAAAUACUUUGAUCAAAAUGUUGGUAAAUUUUAUGAUUUAGCGUAAAAAUGAAAAAAAAAAUCAUUUAUGGAUCAAAAUGUUUCAAAAUGAUUACGAAUAGAAAAUAUUUAGUAUAGUGUUGAUAAAGUUUUUAAACUUCAUAAAUAAUUAUGGGUUAAGUGUUUUAUAAGUUUUAGUAAAAUAUUAAAAAAUGUAUAUAUAUUUAAAAAAUUACAAUUUUUUCAAGUCGUGAAAUAAAAAAUAUAUAUUAUCAGUAUAUCAAAUACUAAUUUAUAAAAAAAUCAAUCUCAUAAUGUUUAAAUAUCAUUCAUUUAAGUCAUGAGGUGUGGUGUGGUAAUUGCUCAUCUCAUUUCUCAAUCAUUAGGUCAAGGGUUUAAUCCUUGCUUAUAGGAAUGGAGCACAUUUUAUGGUCAAUCAUUUAUCUUUUUGGAGAGCUCUAAUAGCGAAAGAAUUAGUCAUUACUACUAGUGGUGGAUACUAUAAAAAUAUUUAUAACUUUGUAUAUAUUUAUAUAACAAACUUUUUCCCUUAAUUCAAAGGGUUAAUAGCUAAUUUGGUCCCUGUGUUAUAGUUAAAAGUCAAUUUGAUUUUUUUUAAUUCUCUUAACAAUAAUUGUAAAAGAAAAUCUUAAACUAAA